rnacentral:rRNA from 1 species
AAUCAACGCUGGCGGCGUGCCUCAGACAUGCAAGUCGAACGAUUAAAGCUCUCUUCGGAGAGUGCAUAGAGUGGCGCACGGGUGAGUAACACGUAAGUAAUCUACCUUCGAGUGGGGAAUAACGUCCGGAAACGGACGCUAAUACCGCAUAACGCAGCGGCAUCGCAAGAUGACAGUUGUUAAAGAUUUAUCGCUUGAAGAGGAGCUUGCGGCAGAUUAGCUUGUUGGUAAGGUAACGGCUUACCAAGGCUACGAUCUGUAACCGGUCUAAGAGGACGGUCGGUCGACACUGACACUGAAUAAC